rnacentral:rRNA from 1 species
UACGUAGGGGCCUAGCGUUGUCCGGAUUUAUUGGGCGUAAAGAGCUCGUAGGCGGUUCGGUAAGUCAGGUGUGAAAUCUCCACGCUCAACGUGGAGGGGCCACCUGAUACUGCCGUGACUCGAGUCCGGUAGGGGAGUGUGGAAUUCCCGGUGUAGCGGUGAAAUGCGCAGAUAUCGGGAGGAACACCAGUAGCGAAGGCGGCACUCUGGGCCGAUACUGACGCUGAGGAGCGAAAGCGUGGGGAGCGAACAGG